GUCCUGGUGUAACGGUAACCCGCACUGCUGUAUACACUGUAACUAUGACUUUCAGGUGCGGUCGGUGGUUCGACUCCACCCCAGGACA